rnacentral:lncRNA from 1 species
UUAUUGCAUGUAAUAUCACAAAUUUUGAAGAAAAUCAAUUUUCCCCACAAACUUAAAAAAUUCCACAAAUUAUCAAAUACUUUCAAAACUGUUCAAACUCCCCAUGUCAACUUUCAUGAUAAUUACAAAUCUACCCUGCAUUCAUACAAAUUAUAGAAAAAUCCCCAUAUAUGUUCAAUAUUCGUAUAAAAUUUAAAAAGAACCCCAACAUGAUAUUAUUUUAGGCAAAAUUAUCCUCAUGAAUUUUUCUACAAUUAUAAAGCAAUUUUAUAAAAUCAUAAAAAAGGCCCAACAUGCUUCCGUAUCAUUUCAAAAUUAAUCUAAACAUAAACCAACUUUAUACCUUUAGUCGAAUGGUUUUC